UGGAAAUUACUAGAAAUCGCUUGUCGCAGUCAUUUUUAGAAUCUGGUACUUGAAUAUUAGUAAUUAAUUACUUUUUGGUUCUUUUUUUUUUUUAAUCAUGCUCUCUCUUGGUUUAGUCAAUUAUUUUCAACGAUAUGUGUGCGCAAUCUGAUAUUUUACUUCAAUCAAAGUUUUAUAUUCUUUAAGCCGUAUCUUACAGGCUUUUUUUUAACCUAUAUAUAUAAAAUGUAAGCCACACUUAAAAAAUAAGAUGUGAUCAAUUCAAAUCAUGUGUUGGUGGAAUGUUUAAUUAUCGGGCCAAAAUUAUUAGGUUCUCAAGCU
rnacentral:lncRNA from 1 species